rnacentral:rRNA from 1 species
AGCAGCCGCGGUAAUUCCAGCUCCAAUAGCGUAUAUUAAAGUUGUUGCAGUUAAAAAGCUCGUAGUUAAAUUUCGGGGUCAGCAGAUUGGUCGUGCCACUGGUAUGCAUUGGCCUUGGUGAUUCCUCCUUCUUGAAGAACCGUGAUGCCAUUCAGUUGGUGUUGCGGGGACACAGGACUGUUACUUUGAAAAAAUUAGAGUGUUUAAAGCAGGCGCACGCCUGAAUACAUUAGCAUGGAAUAAUGAAAUAGGACAAUUGAUCCUAUUUUGUUGGUUUCUAGGGUUGAUGUAAUGAUUAAUAGGGAUAGUUGGGGGCAUUAGUAUUCAAUUAUCAGAGGUGAAAAUUUUGGAUUUAUUGAAGACUAACUACUGCGAAAGCAUUUGCCAAGGAUGUUUUCAUUAAUCAAGAACGAAAGUUAGGGGAUCAAAGGCGAUCAGAUACCGUCAUAGUCUUAACCGUAAACUAUGCCGACUAGAGAUCGGAUGAUGUAAUUUUUAAUGACUCAUU